rnacentral:lncRNA from 1 species
CUCUACCUAAUAUAACCUUAAGACACACUUGAGUGAGACAAGAAGUGACCGCCCAUACAACCUCUUCAAGCACACUUAAGUGUUCCCCAAGAUUACCUUAGAUAAGGACAUUCCCUUUACAACAUAACAUCAAUAGACCAACAUUCUUUAAGAAACCAUUUUUGGAGACAUUCAAGCACAUAAGGGGACUUUCACAUAAUAGUCGUUAGACUUAGGGAACUCACUUUAGUAUCUUCAAAGCCUACUCGUGCCAUGUGUAGAUAGCAUCCCAUACUACUACCUACACGUUGUAGA